GGAGAGGUGCCAGAGUUAGGCCGAUCGGGCACGACUGGAAAUCGUGUGUACCUUCGGGUACCGAGGGUUCGAAUCCCUCCCUCUCCG
rnacentral:tRNA from 1 species